rnacentral:rRNA from 1 species
GACGAACGCUGGCGGCGUGCUUAAUACAUGCAAGUCGAGCGAACAGACGAGGAGUUUGUUCCUUUCACGUUAGCGGCGGACGUGUGAGUAACACGUGUAUAAUCCACUUAUAUGUCUGGGAAAAUUUCGGGAAUCCGGAGCUAAUACCGGAUAAUCUACUGAACCGCAUGGUUCAAUAGUGAAAGACGGUUUUGCUGUCACUUCUAGAUGGAUCCGCGCCGCAUUAGCUAGUUGGUAAGGUAACGGCUUAUCAAGGCUACGAUGCGUAGCCGACGUGACAGAGGGGUCGGCCACACUGGAGCUGGAACGCGGUCCAUGCUCCUGCGAGAGGGAGCAGUAGGGUAUCUUCCGCAGUAGGCGAGAACUUGGCGGAACAGCGCCACGUGAGUGGUAGAAGUCUUCGGAUCGUGAAACUCUGUUAUUGGGGGUAAACAGAUGUGUAAGUAGCUGUACACGUCUUGACGGUACCUGGUCAAGAAGCCACGGCUAACUACGUG